rnacentral:tRNA from 1 species
GCGCUUGUUGCUAUAAUAACGGCAGACGUUCUUGCGGGAAACCGUGGGGGUUCAAGUCCCUUCGAGCGCACCA